CGGUUUGUUUAAAUAUUUCGGAGGUUAGUAUGACCUCCUCUUUGGUGAUGAUGUUUUCGUUUUAAAGUUGGGAAAAUUGUUUGUACAUGUACCAACAAAAAUAAAAACACAAAGUCAAUCUAGAAUUAUGUUUUUAUCAUUUUUUUAUGUUUAGGUUGUCAGCAAGAUGAAAAGGACAAGUAUGCAGUUCAAAAUUCAAAAUGUGGAUAAGUUGAGGUUCUAGGUCUUACCUUUGCAGAUUUUCAUAUUUUGCAUGAAUGAAUUCAAAGGUUAUAUGAUGGACAGCAGAGAAAGAAAAAAAAAAAACUCUUCAAUUAUCCUGCUCCUGGAUAAAUGUAAAACAUCUUGUUUUUCGGUAAGUUUUAUGCUCUGUUUUUUGAUAGUGUUAGUGCAUUCAUCUUUCCAGUCUUUCCUCUAAAUUGUAAGUUUUUGGUGAGUGUUCACCAUGAAUUUCAGUAAGUAACUUGUGGAUUUACAUGUAUAUACUCAAAAUUUAGUACUAAUAUUAAUGGGAUUUUAGCAUGACAUCCUGCCAAAUGCUUGUUAAUCAUGUUUAUGUUCCAGAACAAACAAGUAUUUGGACUGUACGCAUACAGUCUGCCCAAUUUUAAGAAGUUGGUCAAGUUUAUUACAAACAAAUGUACAGUACAGAUCAACAUAACUGAAAUCUUUAAUAGAUUAAUACAAAAAGUUUAAUUGCAGUUAAAAUAAAAACACAGGUUUGGUCGAGCUGGUACCAGACAGUACAAGUAUACUUAAAUGGUCUGACUGUACACAUAUGGUGGGACUGAUAGUUCUGGACCGUAAAAGUAAGAUCCGAAUACUGAUAUGGUCUGGAACAUUUAUACAUGUCUUAAAAUUAAUAUCAAACACAUUGGUGUUUUUGAACUUGGUAAUAAGUUAUUUGACUAUAAUGUUUUGGGAUAUCAAAAUCAAAAAUAUCCCAUUUUUACUUUUAAUAAAGAAGAAGAUUAUUGAUGUAUGUUUAAAUGUAUAUUAAAAUGAGACAGCAAGCCAACAACACAAAAAAUAAGGAUAAAACAUACAUAUUUUUUUGUAUCAAUGUUAUAAUUUCCAAUAUGUUCAAGGUAUUUUUUCAUUGAAAUAAAACACAAAUUGAAAUCUGUCUGAACUUCAAAAGCUUAAAGAAAUAUUGUUUCUGUUGUCUGCAUUUUGUAUAAUAUAUUGCAAAUUCUUGUGAAUAAUGGAAUGUUAUUAUAGUAAAAGUUUUAACAUUGAUCUUUAUACUGUAAAUUCAUAAAUUAUUGCGUGCAUUUAUUAUUGCAUUCUGUCAUUUUAAUUUUUUUCGAUUUUGAAAAAAUAAUGCGAGUUUAAAUUAUUGCGUUUACAACUCCGUUGCAUUUUUCGCAAUAAAAAAAAACUCGCAUUAAUUCCGAAUUUACAGUAUAUAUAUAUAUUAUGUAUAUAACUUGGGAAAAUACCCAAAUGUUUAUAAAGAAGAAUAAAUUAAUUGAUUGUUAUAUGGUAUUAGAAUAGGAAGAUGUGGUAUAUUGCUAAUUUGACAACCCUCCAUCAGAGACCAAAGGAUGUAGGCCGUUAGCAACUGAUGACACUGGACAACCUUUAACAAUCAGUAAAAUCCAUACCGCAUAGCUAUUUUUAUUGAAAAUCAUAUUAUUGCUACAUGUAUGAAAACAAUUUUGUAUAAUCCAUUACUUUAGAUUUUAUUGGUUCUUUUUCAGAAGGAUUGAAAUUCACCACCUAGAAUAAAUGGAGAAAACAUAGAAACAAGACCAGAAUAAAUUCAAAGACAAAAGUUGGAUCAGUUAUUAUUUUCAUCACUCAGUCAAUGAUUUGAAGUUCUUUUAAAUUCAAAAAAAUAUUGAAACCACAAUAAUGUCAAAGUUCUGUGCUGAAUGUCCAAAAAGUGGACUAUACCAUCAAACAAUGCUGGAUGAUAAGAAACUAUUAAUGUUUUGUGUUGAGGGA
rnacentral:lncRNA from 1 species